rnacentral:rRNA from 1 species
GGUUAAGUUAUUAAGGGCGCAUGGUGGAUGCCUUGGCACUAGGAGCCGAUGAAGGACGUGACUAACUGCGAUAAGCUUCGGGGAGUUGUAAGUAAACUGUGAUCCGGAGAUUUCCGAAUGGGGAAACCCAACAGGAGUAAAGACCUGUUAUCACUGAGUGAAUACAUAGCUCAGUUGAAGGUAGACGUGGGGAACUGAAACAUCUAAG